rnacentral:RNase_P_RNA from 1 species
AAAAAGAGAUAAUCGCUGCAUUCUUUGUAAUGUAGAGGAAAGUCCAUGCUCGCACCAUCUGCGAUGAUGGUAGUGAUUGUGCUUGAUGAAACGAUAAAUCAAGGCAUAGAAAUAUGACGGCGGCCAAACUCCUAAAGGGAAACCCACGGAGAAUUAACCAUAAAGUGCCAUAGAGACGAGUCAAUUUGGAAACAGAUUGAGUGGAACGUGGUAAACCCCACAAGCGAGAAACCCAAAUUUGGUAGGGGAACCCUAAUAGCGAAUUGAAGCGAAAAAGGGACAGGAAACUGUAGAUAAAUGAUUAUCCCGAUGAUUCGGAACAGAACAUGGCUUACAUUU